rnacentral:rRNA from 1 species
UGGGGAAUAUUGCACAAUGGGCGAAAGCCUGAUGCAGCGACGCCGCGUGAGGGAUGACGGCCUUCGGGUUGUAAACCUCUUUCAGCAGGGAAGAAGCGAAAGUGACGGUACCUGCAGAAGAAGCGCCGGCUAACUACGUGCCAGCAGCCGCGGUAAUACGUAGGGCGCAAGCGUUGUCCGGAAUUAUUGGGCGUAAAGAGCUCGUAGGCGGUUAGUCGCGUCUGCUGUGAAAACUCGAGGCUCAACCUCGGGCUUGCAGUGGGUACGGGCUGACUAGAGUGCGGUAGGGGUGACUGGAAUUCCUGGUGUAGCGGUGGAAUGCGCAGAUAUCAGGAGGAACACCGAUGGCGAAGGCAGGUCACUGGGCCGCAACUGACGCUGAGGAGCGAAAGCAUGGGGAGCGAACAGGAUUAGAUACCCUGGUAGUCCAUGCCCUAAACGAUGUCAACUAGUUGUUGGGGAUUCAUUUUCCUUAGUAACGUAGCUAACGCGUGAAGUUGACCGCCUGGGGAGUACGGUCGCAAGAUU